AUUGAACGCUGGCGGCAGGCUUAACACAUGCAAGUCGAGCGGGGGAAGGUAGCUUGCUACCGGACCUAGCGGCGGACGGGUGAGUAAUGCUUAGGAAUCUGCCUAUUAGUGGGGGACAACAUCUCGAAAGGGAUGCUAAUACCGCAUACGUCCUACGGGAGAAAGCGGGGGAUCUUCGGACCUUGCGCUAAUAGAUGAGCCUAAGUCGGAUUAGCUAGUUGGUGGGGUAAAGGCCUACCAAGGCGACGAUCUGUAGCGGGUCUGAGAGGAUGAUCCGCCACACUGGGACUGAGACACGGCCCAGACUCCUACGGGAGGCAGCAGUGGGGAAUAUUGGACAAUGGGGGGAACCCUGAUCCAGCCAUGCCGCGUGUGUGAAGAAGGCCCUAUGGUUGUAAAGCACUUUAAGCGAGGAGGAGGCUACUCUAGUUAAUACCUAGGGAUAGUGGACGUUACUCGCAGAAUAAGCACCGGCUAACUCUGUGCCAGCCGCCGCGGUAAGAC
rnacentral:rRNA from 1 species